GUAUCAGGGUGGUGACCUUGAAUAAAAAACAAAACAAAACAAAACCCAAACCACCUCUAAUCAUGUUCUUGCAGCUGCAUUUAGAAAUUGCUUUCUAAUCAUGGUAAACAUUGUAUACAGGUUUUUAAAAUGUCCCUAAAUGCACAUCAUUUGAAAAAAAAUGUGACCAAACAUUUUUUGCCAUAGCCCGUAAUCCUGAGAGCCCAAACUAAAAAACUGG